UACGUAGGGUGCAAGCGUUAACCGGAAUUACUGGGCGUAAAGCGUGCGCAGGCGGUGAUGUAAGACAGAUGUGAAAUCCCCGGGCUCAACCUGGGAACUGCAUUUGUGACUGCAUCGCUGGAGUGCGGCAGAGGGGGAUGGAAUUCCGCGUGUAGCAGUGAAAUGCGUAGAUAUGCGGAGGAACACCGAUGGCGAAGGCAAUCCCCUGGGCCUGUACUGACGCUCAUGCACGAAAGCGUGGGGAGCAAACAGG
rnacentral:rRNA from 1 species